rnacentral:rRNA from 1 species
GACGAACGCUGGCGGCGUGCUUAACACAUGCAAGUCGAACGGAAAGGCCCUGCUUUUGUGGGGUGCUCGAGUGGCGAACGGGUGAGUAACACGUGAGUAACCUGCCCUUGACUUUGGGAUAACUUCAGGAAACUGGGGCUAAUACCGGGUAGGAGCUCCUGCUGCAUGGUGGGGGUUGGAAAGUUUCGGCGGUUGGGGAUGGACUCGCGGCUUAUCAGCUUGUUGGUGGGGUAGUGGCUUACCAAGGCUUUGACGGGUAGCCGGCCUGAGAGGGUGACCGGCGACAUUGGGACUGAGAUACGGCCCAGACUCCUACGGGAGGCAGCAGUGGGGAAUAUUGCACAAUGGGCGGAAGCCUGAUGCAGCAACGCCGCGUGCGGGAUGACGGCCUUCGGGUUGUAAACCGAUUUCGCCUGUGACGAAGAGUGAGUGACGGUAAUGGGUAAAGAAGCACCGGCUAACUACGUG